rnacentral:rRNA from 1 species
CACGUGGGAAUCUGCCCUUGGGUACGGAAUAACUCAGAGAAAUUUGUGCUAAUACCGUAUAAUGACUUCGGUCCAAAGAUUUAUCGCCCAAGGAUGAGCCCGCGUAAGAUUAGCUAGUUGGUGAGGUAAAAGCCUACCAAGGCGACGAUCUUUAGCUGGUCUGAGAGGAUGAUCAGCCACACUGGGACUGAGACACGGCCCAGACUCCUACGGGAGGCAGCAGUGGGGAAUAUUGGACAAUGGGCGAAAGCCUGAUCCAGCAAUGCCGCGUGAGUGAUGAAGGCCUUAGGGUUGUAAAGCUCUUUUACCCGGGAUGAUAAUGACAGUACCGGGAGAAUAAGCUCCGGCUAACUCCGUGCCAGCAGCCGCGGUAAUACGGAGGGAGCUAGCGUUGUUCGGAAUUACUGGGCGUAAAGCGCGCGUAGGCGGUCUUUUAAGUCAGAGGUGAAAGCCCGGGGCUCAACCCCGGAAUAGCCUUUGAAACUGGAAGACUUGAAUCUUGGAGAGGUCAGUGGAAUUCCGAGUGUAGAGGUGAAAUUCGUAGAUAUUCGGAAGAACACCAGUGGCGAA